rnacentral:lncRNA from 1 species
UUUGUUUUUGGAUAUUACUCAUUUUGACCAUAUUUAAGGUUCAAAUUUAACUUUUUUAUUUUUUUUGAUUGAUUAUUGAGAUGAAGGGAGUGUGUGUACAAAAUUUGAGGUCAUACAAAUACCACAAACAUAAUUUUAUAGAAUUAUACUAUGAUACAACCAUUGUAUUGGAUCAUUACUUUUAUAUAUAUAUUACAAUUUUUAGUUGAAAUAUUUUAAGUUCCGGACAAGAAUACGUUGUUGGCGUGCACGUGGCAGUAGAAGAGCCCCAUAAACUAACCUCAAAUAGGCCGAAAUUGGAGAAAUAAUAAAGAAGUUAUGGGUCCAUCGAAUGACACGUGGUAGACAUGCGCCCCCCGUGAUCCCGUUGGGCGAGCCGGGAUCGACAGCUCUACGCUCGCCACUUGUCGCCAGAACAGACGGUCAAAUAGGGACCACACGUGGACCCGCCCGGCCCUACGUGGAGACCAAUUCCCGGGGAAGGAUCCGCACGAUUCAAUGACAUCAGCGUACGGAGUGACGUGGCAUACCCUGCAAGUGUGGGCCCCAAAAGUGGCUCCGGCGACGUCAUCACGGUGGGCUUUUAAUGGCAUUAAAAAAUUGGCUUGUAUGGCACGGCGGGUCCGAACAAGAAAUCUGGGCCAUCCGUACUGAGACGUAUUUAAGGCCGUGGAUUUGGUAGGAGAUUGUUGACCUGGAAAGACUCCUCAUCAUUUCAGACAUUACCAGUUUAGACCCUGACAGAAGUAAAUGGUUUUUCCCUCUAUUUUGUGCUCAUUUCCCCUGUACUUUUUCUUUAUAUAUUUUGAUGCUUGCGUAUAAGUAAAUAAGAAAUGGAGAAGAGGGAUUGUGAGGAUAUAAUCAAAAGUAAAGACCCACUUGACGUGUGCAGGUCUUUCUCUCUCUUGCAUGUUUAUAGGUCCAUUUCUCUUUCCAAAGAUGAUAGCAUUUUGGCCUCUCUACAAAUGUGGAAGCUCCCAAAUCUACAAAGCAAUCUUCUUAUGGAAAGAACCCAAAUAAAUGCUGACCUCCUCUUUGUUCCUUUCCCCCAUAUUAGCUUGUCUUCUCUCUCUCUCUCUGGUGACGAAAUUAUUCAUCACAGGAUAAAUCUUUCAUGCCUCAUGAUGGUUUUUUGGCCAAGUACAUGCCUAAUUAUUUCUCUCCCAUGUAAUGUUCU